rnacentral:rRNA from 1 species
GAUGAACGCUGGCGGCGUGCCUAAUACAUGCAAGUCGAGCGAACGGACGAGAAGCUUGCUUCUCUGGUGUUAGCGGCGGACGGGUGAGUAACACGUGGAUAACCUACCUAUAAGACUGGGAUAACUUCGGGAAACCGGAGCUAAUACCGGAUAAUAUUUUGAACCGCAUGGUUCAAAAGUGAAAGACGGUCUUGCUGUCACUUAUAGAUGGAUCCGCGCUGCAUUAGCUAGUUGGUAAGGUAACGGCUUACCAAGGCAACGAUGCAUAGCCGACCUGAGAGGGGGAUAGGCCACACUGGAACUGAGACGCGGUCAAGACUCCUACGGGAGGCAGCAGUAGGGAAUCUUCCGCAAUGGGCGAAAGCCUGACGGAGCAACGGCGCGUGAGUGAUGAAGGUCUUCGGAUCGUAAAACUCUGUUAUUAGGGAAGAACAUAUGUGUAAGUAACUGUGCACAUCUUGACGGUACCUAAUCAGAAAGCCACGGCUAACUACGUG